GCAAAAAGCCAGAAAAAACCAAUGGCCGCCCACGCGCGCAGAGUCACAUAAACAAAGCGAGAGGACCCACCACACAGCAUUCUCUUUAUUUUUCCUUAAUAACAGAUCGAAUCAAACCAGAAGAAUAGAUUGUGAAGAAGAGAGAAAAUGACUCGAGGAAAGCAGAAGAUCGAAGCCCAGAGGAAAAACGCAGAAAGGAAUCAGAAAUCUAAGGGAUCUCAGUUUGAAGCCCGAGCUGUUGCUCUCAAGGUUACCUGCUCCAUCUGUAAGGUUCAGCUGGCGAAUAGUAAUCAACUAGGUGAUCAUUAUGCCUCCAAACAUCCAAAAGAGAAGCCUCCUGCUGAAUCGAGCUGAUUUAUCUUGGUCACUUGUGUAAAAAAACGUUGUUCCAAACUGUCAAAGCAUUAUGUCAAUGAAUGUGUGUGACUAUUUUGUCAUCUGAACUCUAGGAAUUGAUGAUGUUUGUUUGUUGUUUUUUCAUGUGCCGAGCGUUAAGUUUAUAUGGCUUUGGUGUU